AUUGAACGCUGGCGGCAGGCCUAACACAUGCAAGUCGAACGGUAACAGGAAGAAGCUUGCUUCUUUGCUGACGAGUGGCGGACGGGUGAGUAAUGUCUGGGAAACUGCCUGAUGGAGGGGGAUAACUACUGGAAACGGUAGCUAAUACCGCAUAACGUCGCAAGACCAAAAAGGGGGACCUUCGGGCCUCUUGCCAUCGGAUGUGCCCAGAUGGGAUUAGCUAGUAGGUGGGGUAACGGCUCACCUAGGCGACGAUCCCUAGCUGGUCUGAGAGGAGGACCAGCCACACUGGAACUGAGACACGGUCCAGACUCCUACGGGAGGCAGCAGUGGGGAAUAUUGCACAGUGGGCGCAAGCCUGAUGCAGCCAUGCCGCGUGUAUGAAGAAGGCCUUCGGGUUGUAAAGUACUUUCAGCGGGGAGGAAGGGAGUAAAGUUAAUACCUUUGCUCAUUGACGUUACCCGCAGAAGAAGCACCGGCUAACUCCGUG
rnacentral:rRNA from 1 species